GACGAACGCUGGCGGCGUGCUUAACACAUGCAAGUCGUACGGUAAGGCCCUUUCGGGGGUACACGAGUGGCGAACGGGUGCGUAACACGUGAGUAACCUGCCCACAACUUUGGGAUAACGCUAGGAAACUGGUGCUAAUACUGGAUAUGUGCUCCUGCUGCAUGGUGGGGGUUGGAAAGCUCCGGCGGUUGUGGAUGGACUCGCGGCCUAUCAGCUUGUUGGUGGGGUAGUGGCCUACCAAGGCGGCGACGGGUAGCCGGCCUGAGAGGGUGACCGGCCACAUUGGGACUGAGAUACGGCCCAGACUCCUACGGGAGGCAGCAGUGGGGAAGAUUGCACAAUGGGCGCAAGCCUGAUGCAGCAACGCCGCGUGCGGGAUGACGGCCUUCGGGUUGUAAACCGCUUUCAGCAGGGACGAAGCUUUUUGUGACGGUACCUGCAGAAGAAGCACCGGCUAACUACGUG
rnacentral:rRNA from 1 species